rnacentral:rRNA from 1 species
UCUUGGUUCUAUUUUGUUGGUUUCUAGAAUUGAGAUAAUGAUUAAUAGGGACAAUUGGGGGCAUUCGUAUCAACACGUCAGAGGUGGAAUUCUUGGAUUGUGUUGCGACGAACUACUGCGAAAGCAUUUGCCAAGGAUGUUUUCAUUGAUCAAGAACGAAAGUAAGGGGAUCGAAGACGAUUAGAUACCGUCGUAGUCUUUACCAUAAACUAUGCCGACUAGAGAUGGGGCAUCGUUCAUUUACGACUUGCUCCGCACCUUAUGAGAUAUUAAAGUCUUUGGGUUCCGGGGGGAGUAUGGUCGCAAGAUUGAAACUUAAAGGAAUUGACGGAAGGGCACCACCAGGAGUGGAGCCUGCGGCUUAAUUUGACUCAACACGGGGAAACUCACCAGGUCCAGACAUAAUAAGGAUUGACAGAUUGAUAGCUCUUUCUUGAUUUUAUGGGUGGUGGUGCAUGGCCGUUCUUAGUUCGUGGAGUGAUUUGUCUGCUUAAUUGCGUUAACGAACGAGACCUUAACCUGCUAAAUAGGAACGCCUAUCUUCGGAUAAGCGUCUUUCUUCUUAGAGGGACUUUAUGCGUUUCAGCAUGAGGAAGUUUGAGGCUAAAACAGGUCUGUGAUGCCCUUCGAUGUUCUGGGCUGCACGCGCGCUACACUGAUGCGUUCAACGAGUGUACAACCUUGCCCGAUAGGGUUGGGUAACCUUUUGAACACGCAUCGUGAUGGGGAUAGAUUAUUGCAAUUA